rnacentral:lncRNA from 1 species
CAUCCUGAAUUAGACAAUUAAGCAUCCAUUUAAUAUGACUUCUAGGAUGAAGAACCUGCUCCAUUUCCCUCAAGGCUUGUCUACUCUGACUACCCAUUUAAUAUGCCUUACCUCCCCGUUUGUACCCUCUUGACCUUGCUCAGGAAGGUCUGAUCUCAGGUUCAAUCAGCCUAUUUCAAAAGCUGAGAAAAGUUAUGGAGGCCAAGUAUGCAGACACUGCAGCUGACUAGAGGAUGCUGGUGCACAGGUGUGAUGGCAGCCAUGACUGGUGCUGACCACCUGAGUGUCGACACCACAGGCUGGAAGAUGGCUGGUGUCUCCAACCCCACAAUGCUCAGGCAUGGAAGGGAAAUGGCCAAAGACAAAGGACUCCACACUGUCCUCAAGGCCCAGUACCCCGAGUGGCACAUGGCAGCCCUGGGAAAUGCCUUCUCUCUUCCUCUUCACUAGUUGUCCAGAGUGUUAACAGCCUGGGUUAAAGCUCACUCUGGGUCAGUCCCACUAAACUAGGACCAGAAUAUGUUAGCAAAAUAAACCAAGGUACAAACCUUCCAAAGAGCCUCUGUGUCUUGUUAGUGAUCCUAAAGCUGAAUGGACUAAGGCUUACAAAUGUUUUUCCCUGUAACAAAUUUUUCAUGGGAAUCAUUAUAAAUAUAUGUACUUUAUUAAGCACUAACUAGGUGCCAGGAAUUGUGCUGUGCCUUACAUACAUUAUUUCAUCUUCACCUCACAAAAAUUGUAUCAGAUAAACACAUUUAUAUCUCCAUCUACGAAUGAGGAAAUAAAACACAGAAAGACAAAUAAUCCAAGGCUAUGUGAUACCAGGGUUCAGGGCCAUACAGGAUCCCCAUCCAACUUAAACUGGUGCUUUCAAUCUAUAUGUCCACUCAAGACAGUCUGCUUCAUGUCACUCAAAAACUGGGUGUCAAUAUUCCAUGUGUUUCCAGUGUUAUUACAACUAUAAAGCUACUUGGAAGCCCUUAAGAGGGAAAGCUCUGGAUGCUGACAUACAUCACUUAAUUCACUACAUGCAAAGAUGUACACACGUGCCCAAUGGUUUCAUCAGUGCCCUUGCUGGAUACUAGCCCUGCAGCCUUGGAUCCUGGGAUCUGUGAACCUUCUUGCCUUACUCAGAGGCUCAGAAAACUCUCCCAGGUCUCUCAUCUCUAAAGAACAGGAAGGUAGCCCCAAAAGCCCUCUGUCAAUUGCCUUUGUGUUCCCCUUCCCAAGGCUACCUUGUCAAAGCUACCAUUCCUGUUCUACCCUUCACUUUAUCUGCCUUUACUCUUCCAAUCACCACCAACAUUUAUAGUCACUCAAUAACUGUACAAUCAUGUCCUGGAUGACUACUAUUUUGGGGAGACUAAGAUAAAUACUACACAUGUAUGUAUGAGUGUGAUACAUAUAUACAUAUACCCACAAAUACAUCUACGCACACACAUACAUAUCUGUGGCCUUCUAUUUUCAUGACACCUUAGUAAAACCACUUACUAGUCAUGGCACCACUGUUAUGUGACAAUUUCACUGAGGUUUUGUUUCCUCAUUUGUAAAAUGGUGACUAUGGUAACUUUCUUAAAGGACUCUUACAAUAGUUACAUGAGAUAAUUUCUGUAAACUGCCUGCCACAAAGUCCAGCCUUUGGGCACUCACUAAAUAAUUACUGUCACCACUACUGUCCCAGCAUCCUUUAGUAAUGAAUUGUAUGGCUCACAUUAUCAUUCAUUCAAAUCUUCCUUUCUUCAUUCACUGAGUUAAUUCACUCAUUCAUUCAGAGAUUCUGGGGUCGAGCCUAGAUAAAAUUCUCCAUGGGUGGCCUCCUCAGAUUAUUUUGAGAAAGAGGGGAAAAAGAAAGGGCAUGGAGAUGUAUUAUACAAAGAUUUGCUGAGUAUUUACUUUGGAUCAGGACUUCACUAGUAUUUUCUAUUUAAUCCUUCCAGCAACCAUGAAAGUAUCUUCAUCCUCAUUUUAAUGAAGCAACUGAGUUCCAGAAAUAUUAGGUCUCCUGUCCAAGGUCAUACAGGUGGUGAGAGGCAGAGCCCAGAUUCCAUCACAGAUGUCACAUUCUGAAUACUGUGGUUGUAUCCCUGAGCCAAACGUCUACCCAAACCACUAGGGAAUAAUCAGCCUUGAAGAGUAAAAUGUGGCUUUUAAGAAAGCAGAGUGUACAGUACUACAACCCAGUGACAAAUGCCAUUUUCCUUUUUAGCACUUUGAGCUACAAUCAGUCCCCAAACACACACCAGAUAGGAACUGAAAAGCCCUGGUUAUACAAGUACUGUUCCAAAAAUAAAAUGAGUGUUUUUUAUGAAAAGCCAGAGAGAGACUAAAAAACAGCAGGAGCGCAAACUAUGUGGAAAUACAGACUUAGAAAUAAGGGAAAAUCAAUCUACUCUCCCAGAGCAGUAACACCAUCCUCAAGAUCUCUGACCAUUUCCAUGCCCUGAGACCCACAAGAACCCUGGAAACAUAGAGCAACCUGAAGUCCUUAUUCAUUAACUAUUCAUUGCCAAAGAUGUUCUGCAACUACUGUAACUCUGUUCCUCCUGUGAGUCAUACCCUGUGCUAAGCACCAGAGACACCUACAGCACCAGGUUCUUGCCCUCACUGAAUUUCCACUCUAGUGGAAAGAAAGGAUUAUUAAAUAAUCCUAUAAAUAAGUAUAUAACUGCACUUACAAUAAGCACUAUAAAGGAGAAACAUCUGGAGCUGUGAGCCUCUAUAAUAGGGUGAAGUGCCAUAAUCAGGAAAACCUGAUUACUUUAAAUUUACAUUACCCUAAAGAAGUGAAGAGUAAGUUGAGAGAGAGGGAGAAAGCGAUGUGUAUUGGUGAAAGUUCUUAGAUACAAACAAGAAAGUCACCUUUAGCUAGUUUAAGACAGCAGGCUUUUAUGGAGGGAUAUUAGACAGCUCACAGGAUCAUGGAGAGGACAGAGAACCUGAGCUUCUAGCAUCACCUUCUCCAGCAGAAAUAAACUGAGGCAUGGGUACCAAUACGGGAUGGUGAUCUAGAAAGAUUUCCAACUUGCUUCUCUCCCUUUCUUCCCAUAUGACUUUCAUUUCAAACUUUCCCUGUGGUUUCACCUCUUGAAACACCAUGUCUCAGCUUGGAUGAGCCACCUGAAAGACAAUCAGUGAGUGUGUAGAGUAGGCAUGAGGAUCUUUCCAAAUGGGCUCAAAUUUUAUCACUCAGGAUUAUGCUGCUCCCCUGCUCAAAAUCUACUAAGAGUUUCAUGACUUCAAGAUAAAAGUGAAACCCACUGCAUGGCUCCCAGCACUGUUAAUGAGCUGGCUAUAACCUACAUAUAACAGACACAUCCACACCAUUCCUUGCCUAUGUGGAAUUCUGCAUUCCAGAGCUCGCCUACACAUCCAACAGAUGUAGCUAAGCAGUGGGUAAGGCAGCUGGAAAGUGAGAAGUGACCACAAUGAGCAGGCGGCCUUCUGAAAAAUGUAGCUAUUUAUCUGCCUCACUAGUGAUGAGCAGCCACAAGCUUCCUCUGACAAGGCGUUUAAGGAAUGGGAAAACUGCAUUGUAUCCUUUCCUUCUGUUAAUAAACGAUAAAGUAAUUUGCACUUUAUAAAAAUAUGUUAACUCUGUCACUUGGUAGGAGAGUACUUUGAUUAAAAAGGCCCUCUGUGUACUCCGUCUCUCAACAGUAGCUAGAAUUCUAUCAUUAAAGCCUGCUUCUAACAGAUUUUGGCCCAAAUACUAGAAGCUGGUUCUUCCACUAUGAGGUGCCUCCAACAGAGAGACUGUUUGACAGAGAGGCCACGGGACAGAUGACUUGCUACUAGGAAACCCUAAUGAAGGUUUCCACAAAUGUGCAAUCUGUAUGUGUGUCCAGCUCGCCUGAACAGGUUUGGCUGCCAGAUUCAGGCCAGAAAAAUGUAAAUAUUUUGUCUAGACUCAAGGAUAAAGGUGG